CGGGGCGUAGCGCAGUCUGGUAGCGCACCUGCAUGGGGUGCAGGUGGUCGCAGGUUCAAAUCCUGCCGCCCCGACCA
rnacentral:tRNA from 1 species